UGGGGAAUUUUCCGCAAUGGGCGAAAGCCUGACGGAGCGAUGCCGCGUGGAGGUGGAAGGCCUACGGGUCGUCAACUUCUUUUCUCGGAGAAGAAACAAUGACGGUAUCUGAGGAAUAAGCAUCGGCUAACUCUGUGCCAG
rnacentral:rRNA from 1 species